GACGAACGCUGGCGGCGUGCUUAACACAUGCAAGUCGAACGAAGAGCGAUGGAAGCUUGCUUCUAUCAAUCUUAGUGGCGAACGGGUGAGUAACGCGUAAUCAACCUGCCCUUCAGAGGGGGACAACAGUUGGAAACGACUGCUAAUACCGCAUACGAUCCAAUCUCGGCAUCGGGACUGGAUGAAAGGUGGCCUCUAUUUAUAAGCUAUCACUGAAGGAGGGGAUUGCGUCUGAUUAGCUAGUUGGAGGGGUAACGGCCCACCAAGGCGAUGAUCAGUAGCCGGUCUGAGAGGAUGAACGGCCACAUUGGGACUGAGACACGGCCCAGACUACUACGGGAGGCAGCAGUGGGGAAUCUUCCGCAAUGGACGAAAGUCUGACGGAGCAACGCCGCGUGAGUGAUGACGGCCUUCGGGUUGUAAAGCUCUGUUAAUCGGGACGAAUGGUUCUUGUGCGAAUAGUGCGAGGAUUUGACGGUACCGGAAUAGAAAGCCACGGCUAACUACGUG
rnacentral:rRNA from 1 species